GGGGGGGGGGGGGGGACACACACUUUACUUAAGUUUUGAAGUGUCUCUCGCGCAAACUAUUCAGUUUAGAAAAAAAUGAUAUUAGAAACCUCAAUAUCAUUUUUGAAGACCUAUCCAUAGAUACCCCACACGUAUGGGUUUAAUGAAAAAAAAAUUUUUUUCUAAGUAUGAGGAC